AGCAGUCGCCGCGGGAAUACGUAGGGAGCAAGCGUUGUUCGGAUUUACUGGGCGUAAAGGGCGCGUAGGCGGCGCGGUAAGUCACUUGUGAAAUCUCUGAGCUUAACUCAGAACGGCCAAGUGAUACUGCUGUGCUAGAGUGCGGAAGAGGCAACCGGAAUUCUUGGUGUAGCGGUGAAAUGCGUAGAUAUCAAGAGGAACACCUGAGGCGAAGGCGGGUUGCUGGGCCGACACUGACGCUGAUGCGCGAAAGCCAGGGGAGCAAACGGGAUUAGAUACCCCCGUAGUCCCUGUCUCUUAUAC
rnacentral:rRNA from 1 species